AAGGAGUGAAGGAGGCCACCUGG
rnacentral:piRNA from 1 species